UGAGGGAUAUUGGUCAAUGGGGGAAACCCUGAACCAGCAACGCCGCGUGAGGGAAGACGGUCUUCGGAUUGUAAACCUUUAGUCCUCUGUGAAGAUAAUGACGGUAGCAGAGGAGGAAGCUCCGGCUAACUACGUGCC
rnacentral:rRNA from 1 species